GAUAUGCCGUCACUUGAACCUCGGCGGCCGGAGCAGGACUGUGGUUGCGGCCGUUUCAUUGCCAGCUGUGAGGAUGAAGCAGCUUCAUAACCGGAGAUCAGUCGCCUCUCAUCAGUUUCCCUUUUCAGCAAUAGAGGGUGCCUUUCUACCGGUGUUGCAUCCUGUGACUGACCACUCCAACGAUCUCGGCAGAAUCGAUACGCAGG